GACGAACGCUGGCGGCGUGCUUAACACAUGCAAGUCGAACGGAAAGGCCCUGCUUGCCGGGUACUCGAGUGGCGAACGGGUGAGUAACACGUGGGUGAUCUGCCCUGCACUUCGGGAUAAGUCUGGGAAACUGGGUCUAAUACCGGAUAGGAGCCAUUUUUAGUGUGAUGGUUGGAAAGUUUUUUCGGUGUAGGAUGAGCUCGCGGCCUAUCAGCUUGUUGGUGGGGUAAUGGCCUACCAAGGCGGCGACGGGUAGCCGGCCUGAGAGGGUGGACGGCCACAUUGGGACUGAGAAACGGCCCAGACUCCUACGGGAGGCAGCAGUGGGGAAUAUUGCACAAUGGGCGCAAGCCUGAUGCAGCGACGCCGCGUGGGGGAUGACGGCCUUCGGGUUGUAAACUCCUUUCGCUAGGGACGAAGCUUUUUGUGACGGUACCUAGAUAAGAAGCACCGGCUAACUACGUG
rnacentral:rRNA from 1 species